rnacentral:lncRNA from 1 species
UAUAUAUACGUUUUCUUGAGCCCGAAUAAAUUAUUAAUAGAAGUUGAUGCUUCAGAAUAUCAUCAUGAAGAAGUCCCCCGUUGGGGUCUUUUAAGACUCCUAAAGGAAAACUAAAUAAGAAGAAACAUUAGAAUCAACCAUAUUUACAGAGCUUGUAAUUUAACAAUAAAAAACCACAAAACGCAAACCAGUUCUGCAACACUGGAGGAUACUGCGCAUCCGAACUGUUACUUCAAUCUUGGACUAACUCGUUAGUCGUUACAACUUUUGAUGGAAGGUUAUUCUGAAAAAAUAUGCACAAUAAAUGAAGCCCAAAUGAUCAUUAAAGCUUUUCCAUUAAUGUCUCAAUGAAUUACAACAAAUUGUAACCCCAAUUCGCAAAAUUGUCUAGUUCUAAAGUUGAGUACAGUUACAUAAAUGACCUUAACCAGUAGCUCCUUAAAUCAAGAAAAAUGCUACAACCAUCUAUCCCAAAUAAAACUCCAUCAACAGCCCAAGUGUAAAAGAGAACACCGAUGCAGAAAUAUAAAAGAUUAAUAAAUUAUAGUGAAAUAAAAUUUCUAAAUAACCGAGUAUUAUUGGUAAGUCUAAAUAACCAAAAUUAGGAUUUUAGAUCCUUUAAUACUAACUUUAAAUAUUACAAAUUUACUAAAAUAGGUCAAUUAAAACUGUUAUUUUAUAAAAAAUUUCUCUUGCACUAAAUAAGAAAAAGUAAAAUAAACAGUAAUCAAAUCUGAUAUCUAAAAAAAAGAAGAUAAAAAUCUUGAAUGAAAGAGAAAAAUAGCAAAAUGACUUAAAGAUACAAAAUGACCAAGAAAGAUAUGGAUUUUUUGCUUGAACACAAGUAAAAUGGCAAUAACUGUUCUAGGUCUGGUUCAUCUCAUGGAAAGCUUUAAAGCAAUAUAUUAUACACCUAAAACAAACAUUUGUAACCCAAGUUUUGAUACCCAAAAGUACCCUACUCAUUCUCUGCAACCAUCCUACAUCAACCAAGUCCGAAGAAGUUGGUCCAACAUUUCAAUAAUACACCAUAUGACCUUUAAUUAAACACAAAUAACAAAGUAAUAGUCUUAUCUUUCCAUUACAGAAGUAACUUCAAUUUAGCUAGUACUCCACAAUUUAGACACAAGCACCAAUUUCCACGAAGUCUACAUGUAUGCUUUAAAUCUUGAUGUACUUCUUCAAUCUUUUAUUUAAAUACAUAAGCUAAAAUUCUGUCUUCAAAUAUUGAUUUAUUGAUGUAGUGCGGAAGUAAUACAUGAUGUCAUUUUAGCAUACGUUCUUGAAAACUCAAGAAAGAGGAUUCUCACAAGGAAGAAGAUAUAUCAAGUGAGAAAAUACUUAAAAUUAUUGAUGAAAAACUUGUGUCAAGAAAUAAGCAUAACAAGCCUAUUUAUACUAGAUAAGAUCAUCAUAUUCCUAACAAAAUUAUGAUUCCUUAAAAGAAAAUGAAUCUAACUUAAAUAAGAAAAUAUAAAGCAAUUCCUAAUUAAACUAA